GGCUUACCAAGGCGACGAUCAGUAGCCGACCUGAGAGGGUGAUCGGCCACAUUGGAACUGAGACACGGUCCAAACUCCUACGGGAGGCAGCAGUGGGGCAUAUUGCACAAUGGGCGAAAGCCUGAUGCAGCAACGCCGCGUGAGUGAUGAAGGCCUUCGGGUCGUAAAACUCUGUCCUCAAGGAAGAUAAUGACGGUACUUG
rnacentral:rRNA from 1 species